UACAGGGGGGGCAAGCGUUGUUCGGAAUUACUGGGCGUAAAGGGCUCGUAGGUGGCCAACUAAGUCAGACGUGAAAUCCCUCAGCUUAACUGGGGAACUGCGUCUGAUACUGGAUGGCUUGAGUUUGGGAGAGGGAUGCGGAAUUCCAGGUGGAGUGGUGAAAUGCGUAGAGAUCCGGAGGAACACCGAAGGCGAAGGCAGUGUCCUGGGGAGUACCUGACGCUCAGGUGCGAAAGCCAGGGGAGCGAACGGG
rnacentral:rRNA from 1 species